UAGAGUUUGAUCCUGGCUCAGGAUGAACGCUAGCGGCAGGCUUAACACAUGCAAGUCGAGGGGCAGCGAGAUCAGUGCUUGCACUGAUUGUCGGCGACCGGCGCACGGGUGCGUAACGCGUAUGCAACCUACCCAUUACAGGGGGAUAACACUGAGAAAUCGGUACUAAUACCCCAUAACAUCCAGGGAGGCAUCUUCUUGGGUUGAAAACUCCGGUGGUAAUGGAUGGGCAUGCGUUGUAUUAGUUAGUUGGUGGGGUAACGGCUCACCAAGACAACGAUACAUAGGGGGACUGAGAGGUUAACCCCCCACAUUGGUACUGAGACACGGACCAAACUCCUACGGGAGGCAGCAGUGAGGAAUAUUGGUCAAUGGACGCAAGUCUGAACCAGCCAUGCCGCGUGCAGGAAGACGGCUCUAUGAGUUGUAAACUGCUUUUGUACGAGGGUAAACGCAGAUACGCGUAUCUGUCUGAAAGUAUCGUACGAAUAAGGAUCGGCUAACUCCGUGCCAGCAGCCGCGGUAAUACGGAGGAUUCAAGCGUUAUCCGGAUUUAUUGGGUUUAAAGGGUGCGUAGGCGGUCGGAUAAGUUAGAGGUGAAAUCCCGGGGCUCAACUUCGGAAUUGCCUCUGAUACUGUUCGGCUAGAGAGUAGUUGCGGUAGGCGGAAUGUAUGGUGUAGCGGUGAAAUGCUUAGAGAUCAUACAGAACACCGAUUGCGAAGGCAGCUUACCAAGCUACUUCUGACGUUGAGGCACGAAAGCGUGGGGAGCAAACAGGAUUAGAUACCCUGGUAGUCCACGCAGUAAACGAUGAUAACUCGUUGUCGGCGAUACAGUGUCGGUGACUAAGCGAAAGCGAUAAGUUAUCCACCUGGGGAGUACGUUCGCAAGAAUGAAACUCAAAGGAAUUGACGGGGGCCCGCACAAGCGGAGGAACAUGUGGUUUAAUUCGAUGAUACGCGAGGAACCUUACCCGGGCUUGAAAGUUAGUGACGGAUCUUGAAAGAGGUCUUCCCUUCGGGGCACGAAACUAGGUGCUGCAUGGUUGUCGUCAGCUCGUGCCGUGAGGCGUCGGGUUAAGUCCCAUAACGAGCGCAACCCCUACCGUUAGUUGCCAGCAGGUCAAGCUGGGCACUCUGACGGGACUGCCGGUGUAAGCCGAGAGGAAGGUGGGGGUGACGUCAAAUCAGCACGGCCCUUACGUCCGGGGCUACACACGUGUUACAAUGGCAGGUACAGAGGGCAGCUACCCAGCGAUGGGAUGCGAAUCUCGAAAGCCUGUCUCAGUUCGGAUUGGAGGCUGAAACCCGCCUCCAUGAAGUUGGAUUCGCUAGUAAUCGCGCAUCAGCCAUGGCGCGGUGAAUACGUUCCCGGGCCUUGCACUCACCGCCCGUCAAG
rnacentral:rRNA from 1 species